AUGGCGUCGCUGUCCGAAAGCGAGGGGACGAACAGGGGGGGCAUGUGGGAGCUGGAUCAGAACCUUGAUCAGCCCAUGGAUGAGGAAGCCACCAGACUCAAGAAUAUGUACCGGGAAAAGAAAUUCUCAUCAGUUUUGAUGCUGCGGCUUGCAUUUCAGAGCCUUGGGGUGGUCUUUGGUGACUUGGGCACAUCACCGCUCUAUGUGUUCUAUAAUGCCUUUCCUCAUGGAGUAAACGACGACGAGGAUGUUAUUGGAGCUCUUUCCUUGAUCAUUUACACCCUUACUCUCAUCCCUCUUGUGAAGUAUGUUUUUGUUGUCUUGCGGGCAAAUGACAAUGGUCAAGGUGGUACACUUGCUCUGUAUUCACUUCUCUGCCGUCAUGCAAAGAUCAGCACUAUACCCAACCAACACAAGACUGAUGAGGACUUGACGACAUAUAGUCGGCAAACUUAUGAGGAGAACUCAUUGGCAGCAAAAAUAAAGAGAUGGCUAGAAACACGCGCAUAUAAAAGAAACUGUCUUCUUAUUCUUGUUCUCCUUGGUACUUGUACAGCUAUUGGAGAUGGAAUCCUUACUCCUGCUAUAUCAGUUCUUUCUGCAUCAGGUGGAAUAAAAGUUCAAAAUCCAAACAUGAGUACUGAUAUUGUUGUACUUGUUGCCGUGAUCAUCUUGAUUGGAGUAUUCAGCAUGCAACACUUUGGUACAGACAAAGUUGGAUGGCUAUUUGCACCUAUAGUGCUCAUCUGGUUCAUUUUAAUUGGAAGUGUCGGUGCACUGAACAUACACAAGCAUGGUAGCUCUGUAUUAAAAGCAUACAAUCCAGUCUAUAUAUACCGUUAUUUCCGAAGGAAUGGGAAUUCUUCUAACACCUGGACUGUUCUUGGAGGAAUCAUGCUUAGCAUCACAGGAACUGAAGCGUUAUUUGCGGAUCUAUGUCAUUUUCCUGUUUUGGCCAUUCAGAUUGCAUUCACCUUCAUUGUAUUCCCAUGCCUUCUUCUGGCAUACACAGGGCAGGCUGCUUAUAUAAUUUCCAACAAGCAACAUGUGAAUGACGCCUUCUAUCGCUCCAUUCCAGAUGCCAUAUACUGGCCAGCCUUUGUUAUAGCAACUGCUGCAGCAAUAAUUGCAAGUCAAGCCACGAUAUCUGCUACCUACUCAAUAAUAAAGCAGGCUCUUGCAUUAGGAUGUUUCCCCCGCGUGAAGGUAGUCCACACCUCGAAGAAAUUUCUCGGGCAGAUUUAUAUCCCUGACAUCAACUGGCUCCUCCUUAUUCUUUGUAUUGCUGUGACUGCUGGAUUCAAGAACCAGAGCCAGAUAGGAAAUGCAUACGGCACUGCAGUGGUUAUAGUUAUGCUAGUGACAACGUUCCUCAUGGUACCAAUAAUGCUGCUGGUGUGGAAGAGUCACUGGAUUCUUGUCGUCACCUUUAUUGUGCUCUCGUUGAUGGUAGAGCUACCAUACUUCUGGGCUUGCAUAUUGAAGAUUGACCAGGGCGGUUGGGUCCCGCUUGUCAUCGCGAUAGCCUUCUUCAUCAUCAUGUAUGUGUGGCACUAUUGCACUGUAAAGCGGUAUGAAUUUGAGAUGCACAGCAAGGUGUCAAUGGCCUGGAUUCUUGGCCUCGGUCCGAGCCUUGGUCUAGUCAGGGUUCCAGGGAUAGGCUUUGUGUACACUGAGCUGGCAAGUGGCGUACCGCACAUCUUCUCCCACUUUAUCACCAACUUACCUGCUAUCCACUCGGUUGUUGUCUUCGUCUGUGUCAAGUAUCUUCCAGUCUACACAGUCCCGGUGGAGGAGCGGUUCCUUGUGAGGAGGAUUGGGCCGAAGAACUUCCAUAUAUUCCGGUGCAUUGCAAGGUACGGAUAUAAAGACCUCCACAAGAAAGAUGAUGACUUUGAGAAGAUGCUCUUUGACUGCCUCACGUUAUUCAUCCGACUCGAGAGCAUGAUGGAUGGUUAUUCAGAUUCCGACGAGUUCAGCUUACCAGAGCAGAGGACUGAAGGAUCGAUUAACACUGCAUUUCUGGCAGACAAAACUGUCAACACAAUGUGCUCCAAUGGUGACCUUAGCUACUCAUCACAGGAUUCUAUUGUGCCAGUGCAGUCACCCCUCGGGGUAAACAACCUGUUGACGUACUCAAGCCAAACCAACCGUACAGUCAGCAACGAAGUGGAGUUCUUGAACCGGUGCAGGGAUGCUGGCGUUGUGCACAUCCUAGGGAACACCAUUGUGCGCGCUCGGAGAGAUUCAGGGAUCAUCAAGAAGAUUUCGGUAGAUUACUUGUAUGCCUUCAUGAGGAGGAUCUGCAGGGAGAACAGCGUGAUGUUCAAUAUUCCUCAUGAGAGCCUUCUUAAUGUUGGGCAAAUAUACUACAUCUGA
rnacentral:rRNA from 1 species